GUGCUCGCUUUGGAGCACGUAUACUAAAACUGUAACCAUACAGAGAAGAUUAGCAUAGUCCCUGUGCGCAGAUCACAUGCAAAUUCGUGAAGCAUUUCAUAUUUAA